GAUGAACGCUGGCGGCGUGCCUAAUACAUGCAAGUCGAGCGAACGGACGCGAAGCUUGCUUCUCUGAUGUUAGCGGCGGACGGGUGAGUAACACGUGGAUAACCUACCUAUAUGACUGGGAUAACUUCGGGAAACCGGAGCUAAUACCGGAUAAUAUCUUGAACCGCAUGGUUCAAAAGUGAAAGACGGUCUUGCUGUCACUUAUAGAUGGAUCCGCGCUGCAUUAGCUAGUUGGUAAGGUAACGGCUUACUACGGCGACGAUGCAUAGCCGACCUGAGAGGGGGAUCGCCCACACGAGAACUGGAACACGGUCCAGACUCCUGCGAGAGGCAGCAGUAUGGAAUCUUCCGCAAUAGGCGAAAGCCUGACGGAGCAACGCCGCGUGAGUGAUGAAGGUCUUCGGAUCGUAAAACUCUGUUAUUAGGGAAGAACAUAUGUGGAAGUAACUGUGCACAUCGUGACGGUACCUAAUCAGAAAGCCACGGCUAACUACGUG
rnacentral:rRNA from 1 species